GCCAGGGACAGUCUUCUGGAAGUGCCACACCAAGUAUCACCACUACGUCUGUCCAGGGCAACCACAAUAAUCACAUUGCAAUGUACAGUUUCAUGUGGUGGCCACUACCAAAAGACUGGGACAGGGAAACUGAAGACCCACUGCCACUGCACUGCUAAUGACAGCAGCAACAGGAUAACUAUAUCUGCCUGUUCUUCUGUAGAAAACACAUUCGUAUGAAGUGGAUUUUAAAGGGGCAGAAGAACCUUGGUAGAUAAAAUUAAGUAGGGGCUGACUGACUACAUGAGUGCUAUUAGCAAAGGCAAACACAAGGGAAGCCAAAGGAGGAUUGAUGGCAGAGCUGAAGGAUUAUCUUUGCGAUGAACAACUGGGAAGAAUACAUCAGAACUCCUUUUCCCUGACAAUGAGUAGGAAUCUCAUCAAGAGAAAUUCAAUUUGGUCUGAUUUUCCAUUCUUCCAUCCUACUGUGGUUCUGUUUUUCCCCAUCUCUGCUGGAAUACCUUUCCUAUGUGAGCUUUAUCUAUCCAAAGCCCAAUUGUUUGGACACACUGGAUAGGAUGCAAAGAAAAUUAGGUGUGCCUGUUGUCCACUGACUUUAAAGUACUUAACUAUAUAUUUAAGUAGCACUGAUUUUAAUGGAAUUUAGGCAUACCUCAUGUCCAUUCAGUAGUUUCCUUUGAAGGCCAAGGCAAGAGCCUACCUGUUUCAGCAAAGACUAAGUAUGUUGGCAUUGAGAUUGCAAUCUUGGUUUGAAGGUAUCACUGCAGUGAAACUUCCCAUACUUUGUGUUUUGGCAUUUGUGGUCUAAACUAGAUAUUCAGAAAGCAGCACCACAUCCUUCCACAAGAUGAUAUUGUUUUGACUUUAUGGUUGAAUGUUACUGUUGUUAACUCUUUUAAUUGAUUGUUUGUGGAUUAUCUAUUAUUGAAUUUUUGUCAUCUUGUUGGAUUUUGUAUUUUCUGCCCCUGGAGGACUGGAUGAUUUGA